UACGGAGGGUGCAAGCGUUGUCCGGAUUUAUUGGGUUUAAAGGGUGCGUAGGCGGUUAUUUAAGUCAGAGGUGAAAGUCUGCGGCUCAACCGUAGGAUUGCCUUUGAUACUGAAUAACUUGAAUGUAGUUGAGGUAGGCGGAAUUGACAGUGUAGCGGUGAAAUGCUUAGAUAUUGUCAAGAACACCGAUUGCGUAGGCAGCUUACUAAGCUAUAAUUGACGCUGAGGCACGAAAGUGUGGGGAUCAAACAGG
rnacentral:rRNA from 1 species